AAAUUUCCUUCCCAAGCUUGCAUACUUCAACUGGAAAAAUACAGAGAAAAUAAGCAUGACCCCAGCACAAAAAUGUGAAGCAAAUUCACGAAGUUUUCCGUCAUUUU